GACCUGGUGGUGUAAUGCUAGCACACCUGCUGCAAUUGCCGUUUGAGGAACGAGUUCAACAGGAGCUCCCCGUUCAAUUCGGGGCUAGGUCA